rnacentral:lncRNA from 1 species
AAAAAAAAAUUUCUUCUGAAAAUUUUUGUACUAAGUCAUAGGUAUAAACAUGGAGAUGAUUUUCAGAAAUUUUUGAAAAUAUUUUGCGACGCACAGUGGUAUUUGAUUGAUUUAGGCGGCCAAAACUCAAUUUUACAGAACUUCCAAAAUAAAUGAAAAAAGUUAUUUUAGCAAUGCUGAAUGGUUAGUGAAUAGUAUAAACGUUAAAUAACCGCGAAUGGUUUUAACGACAAGCUGUAGGAUAUAUACAAAGUUGAUCAUUAAUUAUUGUUUACGCGUUUUCUUUUGGUCGCUUAUUUUAAUGGCAUUUAUCAGCAUCAAAUAAAGUUUAAUCAAAAUAUAUUUCAAAGUGUUUUGUGAUGAAUUCUAAUGUAGUUGGUAAAAGUUCGUCAAAUGUCAGGGAAACGACCCGAAGAAUGUUUUCUGAUCUAAUGCAGAGCCAAAUUUUAUCAAGUAUGAAUGAGAAAUUAAUAUUUUUAAAACAUUACGUAUUAGCAAAAGAUAAUUAAUUAGAAUAAAUAAAAGAAGUAAAACAUAGUUUAUCGCAGUUUAGUUACGAGUUAAAACAAAGAUGAUCAAUAGCAAAGUUGGGUAAAAGUUUGUUUUUAAUAAAAAACAGUGAUUGGUUAGAUGGAAAUAUUGCAAUACCUGCAGUACUGCAUCAAGAGAGUAGGCCAACAAAGAACUUUAAAGAAUUAAGCGAGAGAAGCAAAAGAAGAAAAACAGAAAACAUACGUGCUACCACAAAUUCAGAAACUUUGAUUUGUCCUGCUCAGGUGGAAUUAGGUGUUACAGGAAAAAGAACUGCUUCAAAAAUUUUAAAGAACAUUAUUGACUCCGCAAAGCUGGGGAAAAUGUAUUAGAUAGCAUACUCUAGCGUUUUACAGGGAAAAAAAUCACAGCUAUCGGUAUUAAGUGCACUGGCCAUGUUUGUAGAAGGUGGUCUUUCCAGAAGACAAUAUGAAAUCAAUAGAAGUUCUUGCAAAACAUUAUAUCCUUGGUAUAGUAUCCUGCAAAAGUAGAUUGUUAUCCAAAUAAGGAAUCUUAUUAUGUCACUGAAACCUGUAUUGCAGUCAAUUUACAAGAUUUAUUAGGCCAUACCGUUACACGAUUGGUCAUGUAUUUAGAAGAAGUAGUACAAAAGUUCUUUUGUAUCGCUAUAAUUAACUUGUACUAAAAACAACAGAUUGAUCUGGCAAAAUCUAACUCCUUCUUCGCCACGUUAUUGUCGCCCUAUAAGAAUUAAAUUUGUCAAAGAAUCUAAUGAUAUAACAUAUAAAGAGAUAAAACUUAUUGAAAACUCAAUUAUCUCUUUGCAUGAUACAAAAUUGACAGUGGGUGGGAAUUUAUUUUCAGUUAAACAUAAUAUGAUGCUCAUUAUGGUUGAUGCUAAGGUGUGUAACGCAGCCACUAAAAAAGUUUCAACUAUGAGAUGCUAUAUUUAUGGUGCAACAUCAAAAGAUUUUAAUAACUUGAUACACUGAAGUUUGGUUAUCAAUUUUGCAUGCCAGGAUCCGAAUAUUUGAAAAUUUAUUGCAUCUAUCUGAUAAAUUGUCUAUUAAAAAAUGGCAAGCGAGAUCAGAAAAUCAAAAAUUAAUUGUCAAACAAAAAAAACUAGAAAUACAAUCGAAUUUUAGAAAAAAAAAUAGGUUUAAUUGUACACGUACCUAAGCCUGGUUUUGGUAAUUCAAAUGAUGGCAACACUAGCUGACAAUAUUUUGCAGACCCAAAGUUGGCAGCUGAAAUAUUGUGUAUAGAUUAUAACCUAAUAUAUCGCCUUAAAGUAAUAUUAGAAAUAAUAUCUAGUGAACAUAAAAUAGAUGUCAAAAAUUAAGAAGAUAUACUGUAAAAACUGCGGGAUUAUAUAACCAGUUUUACCAAAUGGUAUCCGAUGACCCCUACAAUUCAUGAAAUUCCUUUUAUUCAUGGUUUUAUUGUAAUAGAGCAUGGUUCGCUUCCUAAUGGUCAGCUAUCUGAAGAAGCAGCUGAAUCACGAAAUAAAUAUUUUCGUCUUUACCGUCAAAACAAUGCUAGAAAGUUUUCCAGAGAGUCUUGCAACCUCGACGUUUUUAAUAGAUUACUAAUUAGUUCAGAUCCUAUUUUACCUGGCAUGAAAAAAUUACCAAGAAAAAAUACUAAACCAUUCUUAAAAGAAAGCUUGGGGAUGCUACUUCCAGCUGAACUUUCUAAUUUUACUGAUCUUGUUGAUACAGAGGAGAAAUCUUCAGAGCAACCAGGGAUGUCUUCAGAGCAAUCCAGAAUGUCUUCUGAUGAAGAACUUUAGCUUUCGGCAUCCUUUUAAUAGUAGUUAUUUUGAGUUAAAAUAUAAAUAGUUGUAAAGAUUUUUUUUUAAUAUAUACCAUAGUUUAAUAAGA